GAUCCUUGAGCAAAGGUGGUCCCCACCAAAAGCAGCAGUAGAAGGCCCCACAUGUCUUCUAAGUGUCUUCUUACACUUCAGAUAGUCUUCUUCAGUUGUGUUCUGCUGCUGGAUUAAUUCUGACACUUUCUUGACCCAGUGACA